GCACCUCACCAUGGAUUAAUGACAGCUACCCAUGGGAAUUCAGAUCUAAGAAGAGCUGAAAAGAGAAGGCACUCAUCCAGGUUCAACAUCAAGUUGAAAAGGGGCAUCUUCACCUGCUCAUGAUAUGAGAAAAGCCAAAGGAACUUUCCUCUGCUGAGACUCUGUUAGUCAAAAUCUGACCAAGAGCCAUCUUGCCAUCAAUGGCUUCCGUGAUGUCACCCAUUUCCUGGUCCCGAUCGACCAGUGCCCUCCUCCUUCCUUAGGCACCUGUGCGCGGAGGUUGAGGCUGGGCACUGCUCGGGCAGCGCAAGGAGCUGCGGGAUUCAUCCGCAGGGCAGGAGAGCUGAGGGGCUGCCGCUCUGAGAGCCCCAGACGGACGCCUGACAAGGUUUGUGGGUGGCUCCUAGAAGAUCUUGAUUUGCUCCCAAAGGAAUAUUAUUUUACUGGGUUUGUUUCCUGUCAAACUGUGCCCCCUGGUCAACCAUGAACCAGCCAGACCCUGCCGAUGACGCGGAUCCCAGCCCUGCAGCCCUGUGUGUGGUGUGUGGCCAAGCCCACUCCCCUGAGGAAAACCACUUCUACACCUACACGAAAGAUGUGGAUGAUGACCUCAUAUGCCACAUCUGCCUGCAAGCUUUGCUCGACCCUCUGGACACUCCCUGUGGACAUACCUACUGCACACUCUGCCUCACCAACUUCCUGGUGGAAAAGGACUUCUGCCCCGUGGAUCGAAAGCCUCUAGUUCUGCAGCACUGCAGGAGGUCCAACAUCCUGGUCCACAAGCUUCUCAACAAGCUGCUGGUGACCUGCCCGUUCGUGGAGCACUGCACUGAGGUGGUGCAGCGCUGUGACCUUGAACAUCACUUUCAGACCAGCUGUAAAGGCGCCUCCCACUAUGGGCUGACCAAAGACAGGAAGAGGCGUUCUCAAGAUGGCUGUCCAGAUGGCUGUGCGAGCCUCACAGCAACAGCACUCUCCCCAGAGAUUUCUGCAGCUGCCACCAUCGCCUUAAUGACGGAUGAGCCUGGCCUAGACAACCCUGCCUACGUGUCCACAGCAGAGGAUGGUCAGCCAGCAAACAGCCCAUUGGACUCUGGCCGGAGCAACCGAACUAGGACACGGCCCUUUGAGCGAUCCACUAUCAGAAGCAGAUCUUUUAAAAAAAUAAAUCGAGCUUUGAGCGUCCUUCGAAGGACGAAGAGUGGAAGUGCAGUUGCCAACCAAGCUGACCAGGGCAGAGAAAAUUCUGAAAACACCACUGCCCCUGAAGUCUUUCCAAGGUUGUAUCACCUGAUUCCAGAUGGUGAAAUUACCAGCAUCAAGAUCAAUCGAGUGGAUCCCAAUGAAAACCUCUCCAUUAGGCUUGUGGGAGGCAGAGAAACCCCACUGGUCCAUAUCAUUAUUCAACAUAUUUAUCGUGAUGGGGCAGUUGCCAGAGACGGCCGACUACUGCCAGGAGACAUCAUACUAAAGGUCAACGGGAUGGACAUCAGCAAUGUACCUCACAGCUACGCCCUGCGCCUUCUGCGGCAGCCCUGCCAAGUGCUGCGGCUGACAGUGCUGCGGGAGCAGAAGUUCCGAAGCAGGAACAAUGGACAGGCACUGGACACCUAUGGACCUCGGGAUGACAGUUUCCAUGUGAUUCUCAACAAGAGCAGCCCUGAGGAACAGCUUGGAAUAAAACUAGUGCGCAAGGUGGAUGAACCUGGGGUGUUCAUUUUCAACGUGUUGGAUGGUGGUAUGGCGGACCGACAUGGUCAGCUGGAGGAGAACGAUCGUGUGUUAGCCAUCAAUGGACAUGACCUUCGAUACGGCAGCCCAGAAAGUGCAGCUCAUCUGAUUCAGGCCAGUGAAAGGCGUGUCCACCUCGUCGUGUCCCGCCAGUUUCGUCAGCAGAGUCCUGACAUCUUUCAGGAAGGUAGCUGGAACAGCAACGGCAGCCAGUCCCCAGGGCCAGGGGACAGGAGCAACACUCCCAAGCUCCUCCAUCCAGCGGUCACUUGUCAUGAGAAGGUGGUAAGUGUCCAAAAAGACCCCAGCGAAUCUCUCGGCAUGACCGUUGCAGGGGGAGCAUCACAUAGGGAGUGGGAUUUGCCCAUCUAUGUCAUCAGUGUUGAGCCCGGAGGAGUCAUAAGCAGAGAUGGAAGAAUAAAAACAGGUGACAUUUUGUUGAAUGUGAAUGGGAUUGAGCUAACACAGGUCAGCCGGAGUGAGGCAGUUGCAUUAUUGAAGAGCACAUCCUCCUCGGUGGUACUUAAAGCUUUGGAAGUCAAAGAACGUGAGGCCCAGGAAGACUGCAGCAGCCCAGCAGCCCUGGACUACUCCAACCACAACACAGCCCCACCUGGCGACUGGUCCCCUUCCUGGGUCAUGUGGCUGGAAUUACCACGGUACCUGUAUAACUGUAAAGAUGUUAUAUUACGAAGAAAUACAGCUGGAAGUCUGGGCUUCUGCAUUGUAGGAGGUUACGAAGAAUAUAAUGGGAACAAACCUUUCUUUAUCAAAUCCGUUGUUGAAGGAACACCAGCAUACAAUGAUGGAAGAAUUAGAUGUGGUGAUAUUCUUCUCGCUGUCAAUGGCAGAAGUACAUCAGGCAUGAUACAUGCUUGCUUGGCAAAGAUGCUGAAAGAACUUAAAGGAAAAAUUACUCUCACAAUUGUUUCUUGGCCUGGCACUUUUUUGUAGAAUCAAUGAUGGGUCAUAGAAAAAUGAGAAAUCACAAAUAAGCUAAGUUGAAACAACGUAUUUAUCUUGUCAAUUUUUGUAUUUAAAGGAUACACUGUAAAAAAUGUAAACUUUAAUUGUCAGGAAAAGUAUGAUCUAAAGAAAGCCAAUGACACCUCAGAAAAUAUAACUCUCAAAACAAACAUUACUAAUAGUGUUUAUUUAGUGUGGAGGAUUUCUCAUUACUCCACAACUUUAACUUUAUAUUUUUUUAUUCAGUAAAAAGCUCUUAAAUUGCUGAAAUGGUUUGUAUGCCCCCCACUGGCUUUAAAUCCUACAAUUAAAUUAAAAAUUUGGUAUAUGCUGAGGUCUGCAAAGGGUACACUAUACAACCAGAGGAUUUUAAAUGUACAUUGCUGGAAAAUGUUUGUUUCAUCAAAUGAGAAAUAAAUAUUUUUGAAAAAUUAUAGUCGUCUUUUAG
rnacentral:lncRNA from 1 species